CAGCAGCCGCGGUAAUACGUAGGUGGCAAGCGUUGUCCGGAAUUAUUGGGCGUAAAGGGCUCGCAGGCGGUUUCUUAAGUCUGAUGUGAAAGCCCCCGGCUCAACCGGGGAGGGUCAUUGGAAACUGGGAAACUUGAGUGCAGAAGAGGAGAGUGGAAUUCCACGCGUAGCGGUGAAAUGCGUAGAGAUGUGGAGGAACACCAGUGGCGAAGGCGACUCUCUGGUCUGUAACUGACGCUGAGGAGCGAAAGCGUGGGGAGCGAACAGGAUUAGAUACCCCAGUAGUCCCUGUCUCUUAUAC
rnacentral:rRNA from 1 species